GAGAAUCGCGAGAGAAAAAAAAAAAUCAUGUUUCGCGUAAUCUAUUCGAUUUUGCGUUCGUUCAUUUGAUUUUUGAUUUUUUCAUAAAAUAAUAAUAAUAAUCGUAUGAAUUUUUCCUAAAUAUCUGGAUAUGAGAAAUCCGCGAGUCAUUCAUGCAUAGACAGACUUACCUAAGAUAGGUAUUUUUAAGCGCUAUUUAUUUAAUCUACUAUACGUAAUAAUUUUUUUUUUUUUUUUUUUUUUUUUUUUUUUUUUUUUUUUUUUU